rnacentral:rRNA from 1 species
CCUACGGGUGGCUGCAGUGGGGAAUAUUGCACAAUGGGGGAAACCCUGAUGCAGCGACGCCGCGUGAGCGAUGAAGUAUUUCGGUAUGUAAAGCUCUAUCAGCAGGGAAGAAAAUGACGGUACCUGACUAAGAAGCCCCGGCUAACUACGUGCCAGCAGCCGCGGUAAUACGUAGGGGGCAAGCGUUAUCCGGAUUUACUGGGUGUAAAGGGAGCGUAGACGGUCCUGCAAGCCAGAUGUGAAAGCCCGGGGCUCAACCCCGGGACUGCAUUUGGAACUGUAAGGCUAGAGUGUCGGAGAGGGAGGCGGAAUGCCGAGGGUAGGGGUGAAAUGCGGAGAUAUUAGGAGGAAAACCGGUGGAGAAGGCGGCCUGCUGGAAGAUGAAUGACGUUGAGGCUCGAAAGCGGGGGGAGCAAACAGGAUUAGAUACCAUUGUAGUC